rnacentral:antisense_RNA from 1 species
AAUUAUGGUGGCUCAGACAGUGGCUUCUCACGAAGCACCGGAUCCAGAAAACCGGUAACGCUAACGCUGUUUGAGCUACCACCCCG